ensembl:lncRNA
AGAGAGAGAGAGGGAGCUGCAGAGAGAGAGAGAGAGAGGGGGAAAGAUGGAGAGAGAGAGAGAGAGAGAGAGAGAGAGAGAGAGAGGCGGAGAGGGAGAGAGAGAGAGAGAGAGGCGGAGAGGGAGACAGAGAGAGAGAGAGAGGCGGAGAGGGAAACAGAGAGAGAGGGAGAGAGAGAGGGAGCUGCAGAGAGACAGAGAGAGCAGCAGAGAGAGAGAGAAUAAGAGAGAGAGAGAGAGAGCUGCAGAGAGAGCUGCAGAGAGAGAGAGAGCUGCAGAGAGAGAGGGAGCUGCAGAGAGAGAGAGAGAGAGAGAGAGAGAAUAAGAGAGAGAGAGAGAGAGCUGCAGAGAGAGAGAGAGCUGCAGAGAGAGAGAGAGCUGCAGAGAGAGAGAGAGAGAGCUGCAGAGAGAGAGAGAAAGAAUAAGAGAGAGAGGGAGAGCGAGCUGCAGAGAGAGAGAGAGCUGCAGAGAGAGAGAGAGAGAGAG